AUGGCAGCACCGUCGCCCCUCCAGCUGAGAGAAGGUAAACAAACCCGUGUUUCCUGCUGCUUCUCAUUUCUGCAGCUGUGUGAGGAAUUAACGAAGCCAUAACACAACCAGGACCUUAUUUGUGUGUUUUUGCUCCCUACUGAUGACUGGAGGUGCGUGGAGGUCAGACUGGAGAGUGGAAGGAAGGUGGAUGAAGUGGUGGUGGCGGGAGCGUGAUGAAUGGAAGGCUGGAGGUGAAAAGCGUAGUGAUCGGCCGAGGACGACCUGCAGCAGCGAGGACGAUUCCAUCCUCACACCAACUAUCCCAAAAUAACAAUUCUGUAAGUACUGAGUCCAUAGACACUUGGUACAUUUUAUUCAUUUUUAUUCAUCUC